AUUCCAGCUCCAAUAGCGUAUAUUAAAGUUGUUGCGGUUAAAAAGCUCGUAGUUGGAUCUCGGCGGGCAGGGGGUGGUUCGCUCUUCAGCGCUACUGCCCCGCUUUGCCCGUGUGAUUGGCGGAGGUUUCGGGGUGCUCUUCGUUGAGUGACUCGGAGCGCCGUCAGGUUUACUUUGAAAAAAUUAGGGUGCUCAAAGCAGGCUUUUCACGCUUGAAUAUUCGUGCAUGGAAUAAUGGAAUAGGAACUCGUUUCUAUUUUGUUGGUUUUCGGAAAUCGAGUUAAUGAUUAACAGGGACAAUUGGGGGCAUUAGUAUUCAGACGACAGAGGUGAAAUUCUUGGACCGUCUGAAGACUGACUACUGCGAAAGCAUUUGCCAAGAGUGUUUUCAUUG
rnacentral:rRNA from 1 species